AUGGCGCCGUCGGAGAGGAUGCUGGAGUCGGCGGCGUACACGCGGAUGAAGGCGGAGAACCCGUCCGAGUUCGUGCCGCGGAGCGUCUUCUUCGCGCGCGACGGCGGCAGCGGCAUCGACCGCCGCAACAGCCUCUGGGUCAAGGCGGCGCUCGUCUACGAGUCCGUCACCGGCAGCCACGUCGACGACGGCGCCAAGCCCCUCGCCACCAGCCUCCUCCUCAGCCUCGCCCGCGAAUGCCGCUUCCGCAUCCACCCCGACGACGAACGGCCACCGGCGCCGCAGACCAAAGCCGCGGUGGUGACGGACGUCCUCAACAAAGUGUCGGGCGCCGUGGCCACGCCUAUCGCCGGCGCGGGCGGCGGAGAAGACGGAUCAGAGGAGAAGCAGAGCAAGACGGCGGAGCUGCACGACGAAGAGAAAGAGUCGGACGACAAGCAGGUGAUCGACGCCGUCUUCCUCGUCGUCGGCUUCCUCGCGAGGCUGGUCAAGGCCGCCGCGGGCGUCAGCCGCGACGCCGUCGACGAGGGGUUCAAGUCCACGCACAUGCAGGACAUCGUCACGGACAUGAUCAAGCUGGAGAACCAGCUCCCCCUCAAGCUCAUCCUCGACGUCGUCGAGCACGUCCAGGACGCGGCACGCCACGUCGCCGCCGAAGCCAGGUUCGAGGGGCUCCGCGAAUUCCUCGAGGCGUACAAGCUCGGCCUCAGCCCAGCCACCUUCUUCGACGACGUCGUCAGGCCCUUCUGCUGGUACUACUCGCCCUUCUUCAACAAGCAGCUGCCGGCCGUGGACCGCGGCCUGUUCGACGGCAACCACGAGAUCGCGCUCCUGGACUUCCUCCACGCCAGCGUGGUGCCGACGCCGCCGGACGCGGAGAAGGGGGCGGCCGCCGGCGGCAGGACGUCCCGUAUGCCGACGGCCAGGGAGCUGAGCCGCUCCGGCGUGCGGAUCGCGCCGGGGGAGGACGGCCGCGCGACGGUGGAGUUCGACGAGGCGUCCGCCAGGCUGCAGCUGCCGGCGCUGGUGUACGACUUCAAGCUGGCCACGGUGGCCAGGAACCUGCUGGCGCGGGAGUACGAGGAGCAGAACAAGCCCGUGACGCGCUACUUCCAGAUGAUGAACGAGCUCGUCGACGAGGCGGCCGACGCCAAGAUCCUCCGCCGCGCCGGCGCCGUGCGCGGCGGUGGGGCGUCCGGCGCCGAGGUGCACGAGCUGGUCAAGCGGAUCGACGGCUACGCGACGUACCCGUCCGUGUACAUGGCCAUGGACGUGCAGAUCGCGAAGGUGAGGCGGUUCCACGACACGAGGAUGCAGAACUUCCUCGUCCGCUACCGCCCCGGCGUCAUCUGGGCGUCGUCGGUGGCCGCCGUCUCCUUGGUCGCCAUUGUUGCCGCCAGAAGAAGGGGGUGA
rnacentral:rRNA from 1 species